UAGCCGUACCGGAAGGUGCGGCUGGAUCACCUCCUUUCUAAGGAGUCACCUGCUCGUCACGAGCAGACUCCCGAGUUGAUCACUCGCCCCGUCCUCUCUUCUGUUUUGAGGGAGCAUCCCUCUUCAGCAGUGCAAGCUCCGCCGGCCUCUUGGGCCGGCGCUCUUGCGUACUUCUGCGCUCCUUGAGAAUUGCAUAGCGAGCACGAGCAUCUUUGUUCUUCCAAGUUACAAAAGGCCAACGGUGGAUGCCUUGGCACCUA
rnacentral:misc_RNA from 1 species